GUGGGGGUAUCCAGGAAAACUUUCCUGAGAAGAGACACCUGAGCCAAGUUGAUGGCUGACGGAGUUCACGACGUAAAUGGCUGAGCGUUCAGAUUCCUGCUCUCUAAAUGUGAGAUGCUCAGAGUUCAUCGUCCCCGGAGUUCCGAGCUAACCCUACAUGGUGAGCGAGCAAGGCCAGAAUGCUGUCUUCUCUUGGAUGGACAGGUGGAGGCUGUGAAGAGCUAACGUCUUCCUACUCAGGGGAGGAGGGGGAGAUUCCAGCCAUGUUCCUCAAACCCCAGACUCUCAAACCAGACCCGUGGGAGCUCGCAGGGGGAGUUUGGGCAGUGCAACAUUGGCCCCUGCUCAGUGAGGGCGGCAGUGAUAGGCUGCUUAGCAGACUUCCCAGGCCUCCCUCAGACACCCGGGUACAAAGAGCAAGACUCUGGAAACAAUAGUCAGAGCCCUCCAAGUGACUACAGGUGGCAGAACUCCAGCCCAUAGGCCACUUUACAUCACCUCUCCACAGCUUCCCACAGGCUUGGGGUGGAGGGCAGCUCUGUCCUGGAGCAAGACCAUGGGUCUGGGAGUCCGUAGGCUGAGGUCUAGUCCUGGCCUCACCUGUUGUCACUGUGAAGUUUUGAGGGAAGACACUGGCCGAUCCUGAUCCUCUGUUUCCUUCUCUCUAAGGUGCGGGUGAUUCCUACACUGUUCGUUCACCUUAAGUGGAAUCAUGAGCAUUAAAACAUCUUUGAAAUUGCAAGUAAUGGUACAUGUAGGCAGGAUAAAUUAUUAAUGUUGUCUUUCAUUGUAACUGUUAGGCUUUCUUCCCAGAUGGUGGUGCCGGGGUUGGCAAUUUGACUGCCAAGUCUUGGAAAUCCUCGGAGGACAAUCUUGACUGUUGUGCUGCCUGCCCCCUUUGGUCGGAAGUGGCGAGGGAUGAAGCCCAGAGGAGCACUGAGGCCAGUGGGAGCUGGGGUGCCCAGGACACUCUUUCUUCCAUUGUCCCCUGAACACGGAUCCUGGGAAUGUCUCUGCAAAUGGCAGGAAGGAUGAAGAUCACUGAUGGGCCAUUGUCAGCAGAAGAGCAGCAAGACAGAGCUGCAGUGAGGCCUGCAGCCCCUUCCUGCCCCAUACAGUGUCUGAGUCAGCCUUCUGAUGGCCCGACGGAGCCCACAGGAGCUCCCAGGAAACUGUCUCAGGCCCCAGCACAGGCCCAGGCACAUAGGAGGCUUCCAGGAAAUGCUUGUCAAGUGGAACAGUAGCAAGAAGGAAUUGAAAAGCUCAACCCUCUAAUGGGACCUGCUCACGUCAUCCAGUAAGGAGCUGCUCAGGGCCUGGAACUAAGCCUGGGUGGGCUUUGCUUAGCACGCUGCCUCCUAGGGAGAGGGUGGGAUGGCGAGGAGAUGGCCUGGCUCAGGCUCUGUGGCACAGAGCCCCGCUCCACCUGAAAAGGCCCAGCCUGAGAAGGGAGGAUGAGCCAGCAGAGGAGAAGGGAGAGCUCAUAGGCCAGACCCCUGGGGAGUCCCUGAGCAGGGGAGGUCAGCCUCCCGUCCCCCAGGAUCCAGGUGACCCAGGCUAAAGGAGGUGAAGUUGUUUACAUUGUAGACAUAACACAGAGGGGGGACGGUGACUUGAGUCGGUGUGUAAGCCCAUCCUCAUACCUCUUUCCUCUCUGACCAGAGAAAGCUGGAAAGUUUAGCCCAUCCUAACUCUAGACUAAGACGGAGAGGGGCCAAGACAGAGGGGAGGACAGAGAGGUAACCCCCAGACAAAGCACCAGUACCACAGGAGCUGGGUGGGGAAGGCUGGGCCAGGACAGAGGCCACAUUCUCUGGGGAACGUGCUGCCCACAGGCAGGCUGAACUAAGGACAGAUACAGGCUCCAGAUGGAACAGUGUCAGUGUCAGAAUGUUUCUCAGGAGAGAAGUUGGGAAGUUUAGAGCCUGCUCUUGCCCUGCAUGGCACUUGUUCCCAGCCCCUGCUGACCCACCAGCCAUGAUGGGAGGCUAGGGAGAGGGGCUGGGACGUGGUGGAGGGCAUGGAGCUGACCUAGGGGACAAAAACAGAAAUGAGGACAACAACUGGUGUUGUCUGCUCCAGAGUCAUGGCAUUUAGGCCCUGGAUACCAGCCCCCCUCACCACCUGUCCCUAGCCUGUCAGUAAAGCUGUGCACUCACCGCCCCACGGUGUGACUGUGUGGUGUCCUCUUCAGCUGAUUUCUUACUUGACUCAUCUGGAAACCCAAAGGGAAGUUGGGUCAACCUCUACCUGCUAAGCCUUGCUGAUAGGGGUCCUGCAGGCCUUCAACCUCCCAGGCCUAGUGACACUUCUGCAGUCCCUAUGCACUGGCAGGGCCCUCUGCCCCAGUGGGGACUUAUUCCCACUUCUAGUUACAGCUGCUUUUCACCGUUGGCUUGACAAAUUCCCUACACUGGGUUGUUGCCUCCGUUUCCCUACACUCCCUCUUGGCUGGGCCAGACAUUCUUGUUCAGUGCGUAUCAUGGGUGACCCAAGGGCCCAGAAUCCCAUCCCUAGAGCCUGCUUAGCUGCAGUCCCCUGGGGAGCCACCGUAUCCAGCCACAUAUGAAGUCACCAGGCCUUGGUCUAUACUAUACCCUCCCAGGUACCCGCCUCCAGUCCCCUGUGUCCUAGUUGGAACACCCUAGGGCUCUGUCUCCCACUCACCCCGGGGUGCCAGCACACAAGGCCCCGAGUGGGAUUCUCUCUCUCUAGCCCCUGCCUCACACACGGUCCGGCUCCUUCCAAGCAUUCUUGGUUCAAAGACUAAGAACCCUGGAAUUAGACAGUCCCUUAGAAAUCACUGAGGCCAGGGGCGCCUGGGUGGCUCAGUCGGUUAAGCGUCUGACUUCGACUCAGGUCAUGAUCUUGCAGUUUGUGGGUUCGAGCCCUGCAUCAGGGUCUGUGCUGGCAGCUCAGAGCCUGGAGCCUGCUUUGGAUUCUGUGUCUCCUCUCUCUGCCCCUCCCAUGCUCAUGUUCUGUCUCUCAAUAAUAAAUAAAAUUAAAAAAAAUUUUUUUUUAAAUAGUAAAUAAAUAAAUAAAUAAAUAAAUCACUGAGGCCAACCUCUCAGUGCACACAUGACAUAGCUGAGGCUCAAAGAGGAGCAGGGAUCUGUAGGAAUUUGCUGGAAGAACCAGGACUAAACUGCAGUCACCUGGCUCCUGGUCCAGUGCCCUUCCACAAUGCCAACAUCUGGGGAAGCAUUCUACUGUGAAGUACUCCCUUCCCCCAGUCCUGUCUCCUCCAGGAAGCUUUCCUGGACUAACCCAACCCACAGGGAACAGUCUGACCAUCUGUGCACUUCACUCUGCUCAAGCCAUUUGUCCUUCCCUAGCUGAGGUUUCUCCACCUCUAACAGUCCGUGGCGAGGUCCCUGGCGGGGGGGGGGGGGGGGGGGGUGGGCAUUGCCAGACCUAGGGACA